GGAGGGUGCAAACGUUGCUCGGAUUUACUGGGCGUAAAGCGCAUGCAGGCGGUCUGCAAAGUUUCGUGUGAAAGCCCUGGGCUCAACCCAGGAAGUGCACGGAAAACUGGCAGACUAGAGUACUGGAGAAGUGGGCGGAAUUCCCGGUGUAGAGGUGAAAUUCGUAGAUAUCGGGAGGAACACCAGCAGCGAAAGCGGCUCACUUGACAGAUACUGACGCUCAGAUGCGAAAGCGUGGGGAGCAAACAGGAUUAGAUACCCUGGUAGUCCACGCCCGUAAACGAUGGGCACUAGGUGUCGGGGGCUUGACCCCUUCGGCGCCGCCGCUAACGCAUUAAGUGCCCCCGCCCUGGGACUACGGUCGCAAGACUAA
rnacentral:rRNA from 1 species